GACGAACGCUGGCGGCGUGCUUAAUACAUGCAAGUCGAACGGACAGGCCCUGCUUUUGUGGGGUUCUCGUUUGGCGAACGGGUGAGUAUAACGCGAGUAACCCGCCCUUGUAUUUGGGAUAACUCUAGGAAAAUGGGGAUCAUAUCGGAUAGGAGCUCCUGCUGCAUGGGGGGGGUUGGAAAGUUUCGGCGGUUGUGGCUGGACUCGCGGCUUAUCAGCUUGUUGGGGGGGUAGUGGAUUACCAAGGCUUUGAAGGGUAGGCGGCCUGAGAGGGUGACCGGCCACAAUGGGACUGAGAUACGGCGCAGACUCCUACGGGAGGCAGCAGGGGGGAAUAUGGCGCAAUGGGCGGGAGCCUGAUGCAGCAACGCCGCGUGCGGGAUAACGGCCUUCGGGUUGUAAACCGCUUUCGCCUGUGACGAAGCGUGAGUGACGGUAAUGGGUAAAGAAGCACCGGCUAACUACGUG
rnacentral:rRNA from 1 species